GGGAGUGGGGGGGACGAGAGAGAGAGAGAGAGGGCAGGCUGGGGGGCGAAGGAAGAUGGCAACGUCUCUGAUGGGCGCCUGCCGCAGCCUGGCCCUCUCAACAUGGCUGCUGUCCUUUUGUUUCGUGCACUUGCUGUGCCUGGACUUCACGGUGGCCGAGAAGGAGGAGUGGUACACGGCCUUCGUCAACAUCACCUACGCCGACCCCGAGCUGCGCAGCGACAAGAGCGAGUGCGGCCGCUACGGCGAGCACUCGCCCAAGCAGGACGCCCGGGGGGUGGUGGCCAUGGCCAGCGCCGCCCAGGACCGGCUGGCCUGCGACCCCGGCACCCGCUUCGCCGCCCCGCCCCACGCCAAGAGCUGGGUGGCCCUCAUCCCCAAGGGCAACUGCACCUACCGGGACAAGAUCCGGAACGCCUUCCUGCAGAACGCCUCGGCCGUCGUCAUCUUCAACGUGGGCGCCGGCAGCAACGAGACCAUCACCAUGCCCCACGCCGGUGUAGAAGAUGUGGUCGCAAUAAUGAUCCCUGAGCCGAAGGGGAAGGAGAUAGUGAGCCUGCUGGAAAAGAACAUCACUGUGAUGAUGUACAUCACCAUUGGGACCCGCAACUUGCAAAAAUACGUCAGCCGCACCUCCGUCGUCUUUGUCUCCAUCUCCUUCAUCGUACUGAUGAUCAUAUCGCUCGCUUGGCUGGUCUUCUACUACAUCCAGAGGUUCCGCUAUGCAAAUGCUAGGGACAGGAACCAGCGUCGUCUUGGGGAUGCCGCAAAGAAAGCCAUCAGCAAGCUGCAGGUCAGGACCAUCAGGAAAGGGGACAAGGAAACCGAGCCCGAUUUUGACAACUGUGCAGUUUGUAUCGAAGGCUACAAGCCCAAUGAUGUUGUCCGGAUCCUCCCCUGCCGGCAUCUUUUCCACAAAUCCUGCGUCGACCCCUGGCUGCUAGACCAUCGCACCUGCCCCAUGUGCAAAAUGAACAUUCUCAAAGCACUAGGGAUCCCGCCCAACGCCGACUGCAUAGACGAUCUGCCCCCGGAUUUCGAAGCUUCCAUAGGCGGGCCCCCGACCAAUCAGAUUACGGGCGCCAGCGACACAACCGUGAACGAGAGCUCCGUCAUCUUGGAUCCUGCUGUGCGGACUGUAGGCGCCUUACAGGUUAUCCAAGACCCGGGGCCCACCCCUCCGCCGGGGGAGAGGAACCUCACCACAAACAGUGACCAGGAGCCAGCCGUCAGCAGCGAUUCAGACAUCUCAUUGAUUAUGGCCAUGGAAGUCGGACUCUCUGAUGUAGAGCUUUCCACUGACCAAGACUGCGAAGAAGUGAAAUCAUGAAAUGCGGAGCUAAGACUAGGGGAGGAUGGUCGGGCUUGCGGGGGGAGGCCUGGGCAGAGCCUGGGGUUUGGGUCGGUCACGGCCCCAGCAGAACACCCUGGGAGCUUGGCGCACUCCGUCUGGGAUGGGACUGAAAGCAAUAGAAAAAGUUGUGUCGGCCUGGAAGUAGUUUCACCAACUAUUUCUGUCCACCAUUGUGGCAGCUUGGAACCCGGAGCUGAUUUUUCCUUCCCCCUCUCCUGACCCCCCGCCACCACGGGUUUAGGAACAGCCAGAUACCUUAUCGAGUGGGUUCCUAAAUCAGUGACUGAAAAGACAGCUCUCGGGAUUUCUACUUUGGUUUUCCCCUUUAUGGAAGGGGGAGGAAGGGGAAGGGAUGGAAUUCGUUGGUUGGGUUUUGUCCAUGCUUUCGUUUCAUUUUCAAGAAGAAUAUUUAUAGUAAACUUCACAUCCACACCAUUUUUUUUCCUUUGUGACCCUAGCAUUUUCCCAGCAUUCAGUCUGCUCCGAUCAGUUUAAUGAUCCGUCGCCAAGAUUUAUGGCUGUGGCAUUUCAGCAUGAUGCACGCAUGGCUUUGAGACGAGCCGGUGCCUCAGCACCUGGUAAUAAUCUGGUCAGCGCUCGUUCAGAUUCUAAAGCCUUUUACGAGGGUCCCGGAAAGCCCAUCUGCCCGAGGCCCCCGACUCCACCACCGUGACGCUUCGGAUGCAUUGAGGCUGGUCCCUCACUGUAAGCUGCUUUAUCCCAGCAUCCACUUGCCAUUAAAUGCCCACCCCACAUGAAAGGCGAAGGGAUUUUGGGGGGUGGAGGGAGGGCAGGAGAGACUUUUCACUUCCUCUACUUCUUGCUGAUCUCCGCUGUUUUUUUUCCAGCCAUGAGCCACCUCCCCAAAGCUUUGGGCUCGUAGCUGGGAAACCCGAUCCACGUUUAGAACCAGAAGUCAGUGCCGGAUCUCUCCUCGGGGCACCCUGAGAAGGGAAGCAUCAGCUGAGCACCCCCUCCUUUGCGCUACCCAUCAGAGGCUCCUCUCUGGACAGCAUCAUCGGCUCGAUGGCUACAACAGCUUGGAGGAUCCGGCUGUACAAACAAGGCACGACUCCCGGUAGAACCUCCAUUUCCUCCACCUGGGAGGGAAGCAGCGUUAGUCUGGAUGAGGCAGAAGAUCAACAGGGAGAUAGAUAUGUUUCAAUAGAGAGGUGCAUCCCAAGUGAAAUGUCUGAUACCAAGAAAGUUGAUUCCAUACAGUAUUUCCUUCAGGGGAAACCCUAUCCAGAGUUCUCUGUCACUUCAACGUAGUUUCUGGUGACUUAAAAUGGUUGCUUGCCCUGUGGCCAUCACAAGAGUUGACCUGUGGAGUUGGCCCUCCUUUUUCAUAGUAUCUGGUGCAUUUUGUUCACCCAUGGCAGUAUCCUGAUUUUCGGACUUCACCUCAGUGGCAAAUGUAGCCUUGCUCCAUCGUCUCCGCCUCUCUAUUUUACUGCCAAAAACUGUCCCUCCAGCUUCUGUGCCAGAAUCAGAAAGAGACCGGUAGAAGACCGGCAGUGGGUUCCCAUUGAUUCCUGCCCUUAGCCCCGCUUCUUUGAUUCUCACCACCUCACUGGAAACAGGUCCGUUCAGGGAGGUGCUACACCAGCCCUUGAUGGCAAGUCUUUUGUGGUGCUGAGACUGCAGAAACAGUCUGUAGCUGGCUUGACUGGUGGCACCAAGCCAGUUUAAUAGAGGUAGAUAAUAAAGAAAGAGGACAGGAGUUAAGCAGUUUCUGGUACUAUGCACGGGGAGGUAUGGGGGCACAGAGGCCAGACUCGGGCUCUGUUGUUUAGUACUCUCUGGAGGAGCCAGGUAGAAAACUCAUUCCAUCCUUUUCUGUCAGUAUUGGGCAUGGGAUCCCCGUCUUGGAAAUCUGAGGGCCGAGCAAAGCUGAGGAAGCGGGGAACAAGCAAGUAUUGAGUUAAGCAUUUCCUCGUCAGUGCCUGCCUGCCCGUCUCACAAGCCCAGGUCCUGGGGGACACAGAUAGGAAUUUUUUAAGUGUUCCAAGACCAAAAGCCAGACUCUUGCCCCUCUGUCAUUCAUGGAAUCCACUGAUCGAUCCUACCCCUAGGAGAAUGGUUUCCAGAUCUCCUGACCUGACCCUAACUGUUCAGGUUUCACCUCUUAAUUUCCCAGCAGAAGCUGUUUAAUAGCAUUUUCCAUCCAACCGUGAAAUUUCAGCAGUCAGUUGUUUAGCUGCGAUUUCUUGAUUUCCUUCCAAACAUUUCCUAUUUUGCAUGCAGGCAGGCACCUCACUCCUUCAAGGCAACCAGUAACGAAAGCCGUUCUGAUCUGGAGGUCGUCAUGUAGCUCCCAGUAUCCUGGAGGGCCCCUGUAAGUAUCUGUGGGUGGGAGGGGGAUGGUGAGCCAACUGUCUGGUCAGGAAGUCACGGGGACCCCAGCUCAACCUGGGCAAGUAUUAGCCUCUCCAGUUUGACUUAUGUUUAGGUCUGACCGGGAGGGGUUAGCGAAGAAGAGAGGAGGAAAGAUGACAAGCAAGUAAUCACUGGUUCGAAUCAAACCAAAGACUCAUGAUAGAUAGUCACGCAAGUGGGUGACAGUUCUCUUCCAUUUAUUCAGGGGCUUUCCUUCAAAGAAACUAAAAGUAAAGAUGGGCAUCGGACUGAUGACAACAGGGUCCCUAUUUACUUUGUCAAAUCCUUCAGCAUAAAAAGAAGCCUUGCCCCCACUUCUCCUUUCAAGUUCAGAAUGCGGUCCCUUGUUCCUCAUGAUUUUCAAGCCACCUCAUCUUUUCAUCAGACAAGAGAAUGGCCAGUCUGAUAGCAGGAGUUGGAAAGUAGAGUAUGUCGAUUUAAUAUAGCCAAAGAGUUUUCAUGUGUAUCAGAUAGCUAAACAGUUCCACUUCAGUGUUCGUUCAAGAGCAUUCUAUCCAGUUUCUUUUAACCAAACUGUUGCCAGUACUAAUUAAUAUCUGUGAAGUGAAAGGAAGGCUAGCAGAUGGACUUUUCAGGCUGGAAUUUGCCGACAUACCAGAUGGUGCUAUUGGUGAAUAUCCGUUUUUGUAAGGGAGCAGGAUGCCCUCUGCCGGAGCUGUCUGUGCCUUCUGGCAGAGGCUGACGACUCAUCUCCGGGUGUCCCAUUUCCCUGGCAACCGAGAGCCUGAUCCAGAUUUUGAAAGCGAAGAAAGAAUGUGAAGGACGCAGAAAAGUGUGAAGGGAAGCAUCCUGGGUGACCUCUGGCUCGUCAGCCGAAACCCUUUGGCAAAAAGCUCAGGAGCGUUUCCUUGGUUUUCACGGAAAACGUGUCUGGGUGAGGUGGUCGGUCGACUGAAGUGACAAAGCGUUUGAUUCUUUUGUAAUUUGUUACCCGGUCAUUCUUAAGUCUCAUGGAAUCGAAGAAAGAGGAUCGAUAAACAUGCUUCUUUCCGGUGAAGGCGAAAGCAACCUCAGAGGUGAAAUGCCCAGAUGGUUUUGUAUAUAGCCCACCUUUACUUCCAGCUUCCACAUCAGUCAUCGGAAAUGGCUGUUCUGUUUUAUAAUUAGAAAGAAAUGUAUAGGGGGUGGAGAGGACUGUUAUUUUUAUAAUAGUGGGAUGGUUCUUGUAUUUAGUGAAACUUAUGAUAAUUUUGUACUUGUCAAAAGAUACAUUCCAUUGAUUUUGAGGAAGUAGGCGUUUUCUUCUUUCAAGUGGAUGUUAUCCCAAGAGUGAGGCCUCCAUGGGGCAAAGGUGACCGUUGACAAAGAAGUCUCUCUGGCUCCCCAAAUUGGCCGAAUUGGGCCCGGUAAUAAGGGUUUUGCAGAUCAUUACCAGCCAGUGUCAGGUUUUUGAAUUUUUGUUUCCUGAGUGCAGGGAUAUCAACCCUAUCAAAUCGUACUCUCCUGGGUGCUUAGUACAGUGCUCUGCACAUGCUAAGCACUUAAUAAAUGUCAUUGAUUGAAUAAGUGAGAAAAAUCUUUAUAUACAUCAUUAUAUAUGUUGAAUUUCCAAGUGAAUCACAUACCCUACUGAAUUCCUGUCCAGUAAGCAAAGUAUUUUACAAUGCCAGACUAGUAAUAUAUGGGGCCUGAGAUUUUUAACCUGUCUUCAGUACCUUCCCUGAAAUAUAACAAAAAUCCCCAUUGUUCUUUUUUUCUUCCUAAAUACAAACCGUAUGUUUUUGUGGUGAAACUUAUGAUGGUGUAUUUUUGAAUUAGGUUCCAUUAAAGGCCUCUCCAUCCUUACCUGUAGACCGUAUAGUUGAUGUUUCUAUAGUGUAAAUUACUGUUUGGCUCCAAACAGAGGAUCAAAGUAAUCUUAUCUUGAUUUAUUAAAUACAUGGCUAAAAUCACAGAAACAACUGGUGGCAUUUGCUUAGGCAGUUUUUAAUUUUGACUUUUGCUCGCUAUAAUUGUCUGCCUAAAAGAUGUAGUAGUGGUUUGUAUUCCGAGCCAUUUUUUUAAAAAUCCAGCCAUUGUUUUCUGAACCAAAUUGCAGAUGUAUUUCAACCGUCCAUUUGUUCUGUGUGGUUACUUUAUUUUCUAUAGUCAUCUCUCCUUUCUCCUGCCCCCCUCCUCUUCCAAUGCACUUUAUAUCUCUCUUGAAAAACAUGGGAGUCAGAAAACUAUUGUCUUUAAAGGGAUUUGCCUGAUGUCAAAAGGCACAAACUUUUUAUUUUGCUUUAUUAUAUGCUGUGUGUGCUUAAAAAGCAUAAACAGUGUGUCUCAAUUGGAGGUAGUGAUGAAAUGUUAAGGAUAUUUGGAAACAUUAUUCAGUAGUACAACAUGGCUAUUUUUGUUAUCUAGAAGAUUAUAAUGUAAAUAUGUGUAACUGUGUCAUGUACUGGUAAAUCACAACUAUAGAAGUUAAAGGAUUGUGAAUUCCAAUAAAUUUUAUUGCAAGGUUGUUUUUAUAAAAAUGGAA